rnacentral:lncRNA from 1 species
UUUAUCUGUGUAUUACUAGUUUCUAUUAUAGCUAGUAAUUGUGUUUGCUUCUGCUGCUGCUUAACUGCUGUUAUGCUGUUUAACUGCUGAUGUGUUUUUUCUUGUGAACAAAUGGACUGAUAUAUGUUUUAGCCAAAAUUUGCCAAAGGGGGAGUUUUUUUAACUGCUGAUGUGUUUUUUCUUGUGAACAAAUGGACUGAUAUAUGUUUUAGCCAAAAUUUGCCAAAGGGGGAGUUUGUUGGUUCUAGGUGUUGGCAGCAAUUUUGGUAAAACCA